CUGGAAGUGAUGCAAAUAUGUGUAAAGUGACUUUAAUGGAUGAUGUCUCGUAUUCAUACUGUCUGAUCCAG